AGUGAACGCUGGCGGUAGGCCUAACACAUGCAAGUCGAACGGCAGCACAGUAAGAGCUUGCUCUUACGGGUGGCGAGUGGCGGACGGGUGGGGAAUACAUCGGAAUCUACUUUUUCGUGGGGGAUAACGUAGGGAAACUUACGCUAAUACCGCAUACGACCUACGGGUGAAAGCAGGGGAUCUUCGGACCUUGCGCGAUUGAAUGAGCCGAUGUCGGAUUAGCUAGUUGGCGGGGUAAAGGCCCACCAAGGCGACGAUCCGUAGCUGGUCUGAGAGGAUGAUCAGCCACACUGGAACUGAGACACGGUCCAGACUCCUACGGGAGGCAGCAGUGGGGAAUAUUGGACAAUGGGCGCAAGCCUGAUCUAGCCAUACCGCGUGGGUGAAGAAGGCCUUCGGGUUGUAAAGCCCUUUUGUUGGGAAAGAAAAGCAGCAGGUUAAUACCCCGCUGUUCUGACGGUACCCAAAGAAUAAGCACCGGCUAACUUCGUG
rnacentral:rRNA from 1 species